UGUAAGGGUUGGCCUCUGCCAAGUCACUUUACUUCAUGUACAUGGGGAGAAAAUUCAAUUUAGUUGCAGAGGGCUUUAACAGAAUUUCCACAAUGCUGAGCACCUGCUGUGUUUCUCAAGAAUACCUGUUUUGAUCGCUGAUCUCCAGUGUCCACAGUACCUCUCUAUUAUUUGAGUCGCUUAUGUCUGCACAAUUAUCUCAAGAGAAUCAACUUUUUGUUUCCAAGCGAUUAUGUCUGCUCAAAUAAAUGACUGUUUCUUCAA